AUCUAUAGCUCAGUUGGAUAGAGUGAUGGACUUCGAAUCCAGAGGUCGUGAGUUCGAAUCUCACUAGAU
rnacentral:tRNA from 1 species